rnacentral:lncRNA from 1 species
UGUUAUCGUAUUGCUUUAUGUGUAACCGUUGUUAUUGCUAGAUAUGUUGAACAAUUUUUAUGUAUUGAUUGUUUACACAUUUUAAAAAAAUUUUUGGCUUCUUUAUGUCUUUUUUGUAUUUUUAUUUAAGGUCUCAAAACUCUCUAAACUCUCUAUCAGAACCUACAAGAGUCCCGAGGCUUACCUGAGGGAGGACGAGCCUGUUUGGUAACUCGGUCUAUGAUGAUCAUUACCGUUUCCUCUUCAGCAUCAGUGAAGAUAUAACCCAAGGUAAAGAGAAGCUGACAGGUAAACAGAGAAGCUGAGUCCCAGUACGUUAGAGUUCUGACUGGCACCAUCAGGACCCUGGGAAGCAAGAGAGUCACUCUAUUAAGGAUCAUUCCAGUAUAUCCAUAUGUCAGAUUUCUGACAGAAGUGACAAGUCUGGGAGCAGAAGAAACAACUGGCAUAAAUCUCAGGUCUCUUUGGUUGAGCCCUGUCAGAGGAAAUCAGCCUUUGACUGGCAAAUGCCUGUGAUGCUGCUCACAUUCUGUGGAUGGUUGAGGAGCGACUCAGUAGGAUCUGGACACAGCACAGGCAGGCUGAGGUGUUCUACUUUUCCAAAGUGAAAGGCAUUGGGUACAGAGUUUCAUUUUCCUUCUCAACUACUAACUGUGUGAC